UACGUAGGGGGCAAGCGUUGUCCGGAUUUAUUGGGCGUAAAGAGCGUGUAGGCGGCUUGGUAGGUCCGCUGUGAAAACUCGAGGCUCAACCUCGAGAUGUCGGCGGAAACCACUUGGCUAGAGUCCGGAAGAGGAGAGUGGAAUUCCUGGUGUAGCGGUGAAAUGCGCAGAUAUCAGGAGGAACACCAAUGGCGAAGGCAGCUCUCUGGUACGUGACUGACGCUGAGACGCGAAAGCGUGGGUAGCAAACAGG
rnacentral:rRNA from 1 species